AACGCAAAUUGCGCUCGACGCCUCUUCCGAGGUUUAGAGCAUGUCUGUUUCAGCGUCGGCUUACCACUCGAGCUCCGUGUGCUCGGACCUGGCGCUCUCCGGCCGACGUCGGAGUCCGCCGAAUGACAUCGGCCCUGGUGACCCAGAACGCAAGAGGGGGUCCGGAUCGGUAGGUGACCGUCGCGGUCGCAGCCAAGCCACCGGAGCCCCUGGCGUUGCCAGGGCCCGCAGGAAACGCGGGGCCCGCCGUGGCCCUCUUCCCUUUCGACCUGAAAUCAGGCAAGACCACCCGCUGAACUUAA
rnacentral:misc_RNA from 1 species